AUUGAACGCUGGCGGCAGGCCUAACACAUGCAAGUCGAACGAGUGGCGGACGGGUGAGUAAUGUCUGGGAAACUGCCUGAUGGAGGGGGAUAACUACGGGAAACGGUAGAUAAUACCGCAUACCAUCAGAUGGGCGCAGAUGGGAUUAGCUAGUUGGUGGGGGAACGGCUCACCAAGGCGACGAUCCCUAGCUGGUCUGAGAGGAUGACCAGCCCCACUGGAACUGAGACACGGUCCAGACUCCUACGGGAGGCAGCAGUGGGGAAUAUUGCACAAUGGGCGCAAGCCUGAUGCAGCCAUGCCGCGUGUGUGAAGAAGGCCUUCGGGUUGUAAAGUACUUUCAGCGGGGAGGCGUUACCCGCAGAAGAAGCACCGGCUAACUCCGUGCCAGCAGCCGCGGUAAUAC
rnacentral:rRNA from 1 species